AGUGAACGCUGGCGGUAGGCCUAACACAUGCAAGUCGAACGGCAGCACAGUAAGAGCUUGCUCUUACGGGUGGCGAGUGGCGGACGGGUGAGGAAUACAUCGGAAUCUACUUUUUCGUGGGGGAUAACGUAGGGAAACUUACGCUAAUACCGCAUACGACCUACGGGUGAAAGCAGGGGAUCUUCGGACCUUGCACGAUUGAAUGAGCCGAUGUCGGAUUAGCUAGUUGGCGGGGUAAAGGCCCACCAAGGCGACGAUCCGUAGCUGGUCUGAGAGGAUGAUCAGCCACACUGGAACUGAGACACGGUCCAGACUCCUACGGGAGGCAGCAGUGGGGAAUAUUGGACAAUGGGCGCAAGCCUGAUCCAGCCAUACCGCGUGGGUGAAGAAGGCCUUCGGGUUGUAAAGCCCUUUUGUUGGGAAAGAAAAGCAGCAGGUUAAUACCCCGCUGUUCUGACGGUACCCAAAGAAUAAGCACCGGCUAACUUCGCG
rnacentral:rRNA from 1 species